rnacentral:rRNA from 1 species
CAGGCCUAACACAUGCAAGUCGAGCGGUAACAUUUCUAGCUUGCUAGAAGAUGACGAGCGGCGGACGGGUGAGUAAUGCUUGGGAACAUGCCUUUAGGUGGGGGACAACCAUUGGAAACGAUGGCUAAUACCGCAUAAUGUCUACGGACCAAAGGGGGCUUCGGCUCUCGCCUUUAGAUUGGCCCAAAUGGGAUUAGCUAGUUGGUGAGGUAAUGGCUCACCAAGGCGACGAUCCCUAGCUGGUUUGAGAGGAUGAUCAGCCACACUGGAACUGAGACACGGUCCAGACUCCUACGGGAGGCAGCAGUGGGGAAUAUUGCACAAUGGGCGCAAGCCUGAUGCAGCCAUGCCGCGUGUGUGAAGAAGGCCUUCGGGUUGUAAAGCACUUUCAGUUGUGAGGAAAGGUUAGUAGUUAAUACCUGCUAGCUGUGACGUUAGCAACAGAAGAAGCACCGGCUAACUCCGUGCCAGCAGCCGCGGUAAUACGGAGGGUGCGAGCGUUAAUCGGAAUUACUGGGCGUAAAGCGUACGCAGGCGGUUUGUUAAGCGAGAUGUGAAAGCCCCGGGCUCAACCUGGGAACUGCAUUUCGAACUGGCAAACUAGAGUGUGAUAGAGGGUGGUAGAAUUUCAGGUGUAGCGGUGAAAUGCGUAGAGAUCUGAAGGAAUACCGAUGGCGAAGGCAGCCACCUGGGUCAACACUGACGCUCAUGUACGAAAGCGUGGGGAGC